rnacentral:rRNA from 1 species
UACGUAGGGUGCGAGCGUUGUCCGGAAUUAUUGGGCGUAAAGCGCUCGUAGGCGGCUUGUCGCGUCGGAUGUGAAAGCCCGGGGCUUAACUCCGGGUCUGCAUUCGAUACGGGCAGGCUAGAGUUCGGUAGGGGAGAUCGGAAUUCCUGGUGUAGCGGUGAAAUGCGCAGAUAUCAGGAGGAACACCGAUGGCGAAGGCGGGUCUCUGGGCCGAUACUGACGCUGAGGAGCGAAAGCGUGGGGAGCGAACAGG